UGUGGGCUGUGGGCUGUAAGGCU
rnacentral:miRNA from 1 species